GGAGCAGGAAGCAGGGAGAAGUGACAUGUGACUUUGAGAUCAAAGCUGUUUUCUACACCCCUGUGUACUUCAUGAAUGAUGAAGUAAUUUUCUUGCACAGAUGACACUGUCAUAGAUCUAUAGAAAUACCAUUGGCCUGACACUGACUGAAAAGGGGGAAGAAUCAGAAUAAUUUGUAAGGAUAGUAAAUAGUAUUUAGAGCCUACAGUGCCAGUAUGAGCAGUGUGUGCAGUGUGCACAGGCCCUUCAUAGCUGCAUAAGAUGUGGUAUCUUUAACUGAAAGGAAAAACAAAGGGAAGAAAUGCUCUGGAGUUCUAAUUACCUAUGGAAGCCCCACGAGGUUACUGCAGAACAUGAGUACCAGAAUUUAAUGGAAUUUGGUGGAAAUCUCCAAUGACAAAUGUAGUUUAAAGCUCUGUGAGUGGAUAUACAACUGUGCUGAUGGAAAUUACAGGACAAAGUGGAAGGUUUUUCCUAAUGGGACUGCUGUGGAGUUGCCAAGAUAUGAAAAUCCAUGUGUGUCUAUUUUUCCUUGGAUUGAGAAGAGAUU